GGUUUCGUGGUGUAGUUGGUUAUCACGUUAGUCUAAUACACUGAAGGUCCCUAGUUUGAGCCUCGGCGAAGCCA